AUUGAACGCUAGCGGGAUGCCUUACACAUGCAAGUCGAACGGAGUGGCGAACGGGUGAGUAAUGAGUCGGAACGUGCCCAGUAGCGGGGGAUAACUACGCGAAAGCGUAGCUAAUACCGCACACUAUUGGAGCGGCCGAUGUCGGUUUAGCUAGUUGGUGGGGUAACGGCUCACCAAGGCGACGAUCAGUAGGUGGUUUGAGAGGACGACCAGCCACACUGGGACGGAGACACGGCCCAGACUCCUACGGGAGGCAGCAGUGGGGAAUGUUGGACAAUGGGGGAAACCCUGAUCCAGCCAUGCCGCGUGUGCGAUGAAGGCCUUCGGGUUGUAAAGCACUUUUGGCAGGAAAGCGGUACCUGCAGAAUAAGCACCGGCUAACUACGUGCCAGCCGCCGCGGUAAUUC
rnacentral:rRNA from 1 species